rnacentral:rRNA from 1 species
GACGAACGCUGGCGGCGUGCUUAACACAUGCAAGUCGAACGGUAAGGCCCUUCGGGGUACACGAGUGGCGAACGGGUGAGUAACACGUGGGUGAUCUGCCCUGCACUUCGGGAUAAGCCUGGGAAACUGGGUCUAAUACCGGAUAGGACUCCGGACUGCAUGGUCUGGGGUGGAAAGCUUUUGCGGGGUGGGCUGGGCCCGCGGCCUAUCAGCUUGUUGGUGGGGUGAUGGACUACCAAGGCGACGACGGGUAGCCGGCCUGAGAGGGUGACCGGCCACACUGGGGCUGUGAUAGGGCCCAGACUCGUACGGGAAGCAGGAGUGGGGAAUAUUGCACAAGGGGCGCAAGCCUGAUGCAGCGACGCCGCGUGAGGGAUGACGGCCUUCGGGUUGUAAACCUCUUUCAGCAUCGACGAAGCGAAAGUGACGGUAGGUGCAGAAGAAGGACCGGCCAACUACGUGCCAGCCGCCGCCGUAA